AUCCUUCUGGAAUCACUUUCAUAAGCAUCUAAAAACGCUCUCAUUUACAUUGAUUUGACCCCUUUUGGAUUACCUCUUUGACCUCAGACGUGCUCAUCGGAGGCAACUUUAACUAGCUCUCACAACAAUUUCUCCAAUUUUAAUUUGUUACAUCUACAAGUUGGUUGCCCUUGAAGUCAUAUGGCAGAUCAGCAACCCCUUGAAGGUUCAAGUUCGAGUGAUGUCUCUGGUGGAAGUUCUCAAUCAGUUGUCGAGCUCAAUAUCAAGACCCUCGAUUCCCAGAUUUUCAGCUUUCAAGCAGAUAAGAGUAUGGCAGUAGCAGCAUUCAAAGAAAAAAUUGCUAGUCAAAUCGGUGUCCCCAUUGGGCAGCAGCGUCUCAUUUUUAGGGGGAAAGUCUUGAAGGAUGAUCACCCUCUUUCUGAAUAUAAGGUGGAAAAUGGGGAUACAUUACAUUUAGUUGAAAGGCAGCUGCAGCCCUCACCUGUCAGUGGAACUGGAGAUACAAUGGCAAGUAUUGAUAACAGAGGCCAAGAAUAUACUGCUGGUGGCCCUCGCAGCCGCGUUGGACAAAUCACACACAGUGUAGUACUGGGUACCUUAAAUGUUGGAGAACAUGGCUCUGGGGAAGCCGUUGUACCAGAUCUGAGUCGGGUCAUUGGGGCUGUGUUGAACUCUAUUGGAAUUGGCAACUUGGCAGGUGGUAUACAACCAGGCGUGCAGGCAUCGCAUGGAAAUGGGACAGAAGAGUCACAGGUUAAUGCUGGUAGUCAGAGUCAGGCUGGAAAUCAAUCUGCCCCCAUGCAGGCAGUACCUGGUCAAUUUGCACCUCAAGCAAUGCAAAUUCCCCUAGGAACAGCAAUUGCUCUCCCUUCACUCAAUAUGCCAAUUCCCAAUUCGUUGAACACGCUUACUGAGUUUAUGAACCGAAUGGAACAGUCAUUUACCCAAAAUGGGUAUCAGCCAGACCAGUCACCUAAUGUUAGCAGUGAUCCACCUACAGUUGAAUUGCCUGCAAAUUCUCGUGGUGUACCGACGCCUGAGGCACUGAGCACUGUCCUACAACAUGCCCAACGUCUUCUUAGUGGCCCUACCAUCUCGGCGUUAUCUCGCAUUGCGGGUCGUUUAGACCAAGAGGGAGGUUCAACUGAUACAAUAGUAAGGGGACAAAUUCAGUCAGAAUCAGUGCAAUUAGGCAUUGCAAUGCAACAUUUGGGUGCUCUCCUUUUGGAGCUGGGGAGGACAAUUUUGACUCUUCAGAUGGGACAGUCUCCUGCUGAAUAUUUUCUGAAUGCUGGGCCUGCUGUUUAUAUAUCUCCAUCAGGGCCUAACCCUAUAAUGGUUCAGCCUUUUCCUCUCCAAACCAGCUCCCUUUUUGGUGGUCCAGCUGGCUUGCUAUCUAAUCCUGUGGCUCCGGGUUCAGUUGGGAUUGGCAAUGCACCGAGGAAUGUAAAUAUACAUAUUCAUACUGGGGCAUCACUGGCACCUAUUGUUUCUAACCUGCGUAGCAGGGCACCUAAUGGAGAAGAAAUGCUGGGAGAACGUGUUAACGGGACAACUUCCGGUGAUUCUGGUCAACCACAAGUUUUGUCUGGUAGAAAUGUUACUGCAACUGCUUUCCCAUCAGGGUCCACUGCUGUUUCAGUUUCUGGUGCUGUUGGUGGUGGCGGUGUUUUGCAGGCUCCUGAUUCUGAUUCAUUUUCCAAUGUAACAUCUGAAAUCAAUUCUGAGCUUAGACGUUUUGCUGCUAAUGCGGGCAGUGAAAACCAUGGCGCAUUAGGCCAAUCAGAAAAUUCUACUGGUCGAGAACAGUUUGCCAGUUCUGGUGCUAGAAAUGAUGAUACAAGCAGUCAACAAAUGAACUCAUCCAGCCGUGGAGUUGGGGAGACCAGUCAGGCUUUAUCUGGUCCUUCCAUUGUAGGCAAUCAGAAGACACAGAGCCACCAACCAUGUAUUAAUGAGAUGGGAGGUGUCAUGAACUUGAAGAGUGAACCUUCCACUAGUUUCGGGGGAGGCUCUCAUAACUGGUCAAGUAAAUCAGACCUUGCUGUUGAGGGAUCUAUGAGAUCUAAUCAGGGUAAAGAUAUUUCUGAUGGUCCUACAGGUGUGCCUAUUGGACUUGGUUUUGCAGGCUUGCAUCCAAAGAGACAAAGCAGGCUACAAAGAGCCCAAAGCAAGAAUGGUGACGGUGCAACUGCUAGUAAUCAGAGCGAACAAUCUAGAACAGUUGGACAGCAGGUUUUGCAAUCUCUUGCAUCACUCUCAACGAGGGGAAAUGCAAAUACUGCUCCCUUGGAGCAAUCACCACAACCUCCCAGGGAAGUAGUGUCGAGUGUGCCAACAGCAGGACAAAAUGCUAAUGGCCAGGUUGAUGUAGCAAGCUCAAUGUCUAAUAUCCUCCAAAGUCCCGCUUUAGAUGGUCUACUGGCUGGAGUUUCACAGCAAACUGGUGUUGGUUCCCCGGAUAUGUUGAGAAAUAUGUUGCAACAAUUUACUCAGAAUCCAGCAAUGAGGAGUACUGUCAAUCAACUUGCUCAACAGAUAGACAGCAAUGAUCUUGGAAGCAUGUUUUCAGGUUUGAAUAGAGGCCAAGGUGGUGGCUUUGAUCUGUCAACAAUGAUGCAACAAAUGAUGCCUAUUGUUUCUCAGGUUCUCGGCGGUGGCUCCUCUGAACCCCAACCAAAUCCUCCAUUGGAACCCGGGAUGUAUAAUAGUUUUAGGGAAGAGAUAGCACUAACUGAAGAAGAGACUCAGAUUGAACUUGAACGAGUGGUUCAGAGGAUUGAAAACCAAAAUUCAGCUGGAGAAAUUUUCCACUCUAUGGUUGAAAGUGCAUUGCAUCAAUAUGGUCGUGGCAGUGCUGAUCUUGUAACUGAAUUGUGCAGUGAAGGCAGGCUUUCACAUGAGUUCAUGCAAAUGCUCAGUCAUGACAUUUCCCAAAGACUUAAAGAUGAAGCAGGAUCAUAGGCAAAAGAAUUUCUGUUCUUUUACAUGUGAUAUGAAUGUACUUCAAGUAGUUGGGUUACUACAUGAGUGCAAAAUUUCUUAGUACGUUGUGAUUUUUGCCUGUGGUUGAUUGCUAAAAUAUAGUUACUAGAAUGUGGUGUUCUCUUUGAGAGUACGAAGAGCUGUGCAGUUGUGGAUCAAUGAAUUGACACAGAUUAUGGUUCAUUUGUAAGAGAAUUCAAUUGAACUAUUGAUAUCUCCGAGCCGUACAUCUUAACCUCUUCGAGGUUCAUUUGUUUGCUUUUGAGUUUCCUUUUCCCUGCUAUUGAACCUCGACAAAUUGAGUUCUAAAUCUACUUUAUGUUGACGAUCU